UACGUAGGUGGCAAGCGUUGUCCGGAAUUAUUGGGCGUAAAGCGCGCGCAGGCGGUCCUUUAAGUCUGAUGUGAAAGCCCACGGCUCAACCGUGGAAGGUCAUUGGAAACUGGGGGACUUGAGUGCAGAAGGGGAAAGUGGAAUUCCAAGUGUAGCGGUGAAAUGCGUAGAGAUUUGGAGGAACACCAGUGGCGAAGGCGACUCUUUGGUCUGUAACUGACGCUGAGGCGCGAAAGCGUGGGGAGCAAACAGG
rnacentral:rRNA from 1 species